GCGACCCCAGCUCAGGCGGGGCCACCCGCUGAGUUUAAGCAUAUCAAUAAGCGGAGGAAAAGAAA
rnacentral:rRNA from 1 species